rnacentral:rRNA from 1 species
GAUGAACGCUAGCGGCAGGCUUAAUACAUGCAAGUCGAGGGGCAGCAUGAUUGUAGCAAUACAAUUGAUGGCGACCGGCAAACGGGUGCGGAACACGUACACAACCUCCCAAUAAGUGGGGAAUAGCCCAGAGAAAUUUGGAUUAAUACCCCGUAACAUAGCGAUGUGGCAUCACAUUGCUAUUAUAGCUUCGGCGCUUGUUGAUGGGUGUGCGGCUGAUUAGAUAGUUGGCGGGGUAACGGCCCACCAAGUCUACGAUCAGUAGCUGAUGUGAGAGCAUGAUCAGCCACACGGGCACUGAGACACGGGCCCGACUCCUACGGGAGGCAGCAGUAAGGAAUAUUGGACAAUGGACGCAAGUCUGAUCCAGCCAUGCCGCGUGAAGGAUUAAGGUCCUCUGGAUUGUAAACUUCUUUUAUAAGGGACGAAAAAAGGUCUUUCUAGAUCGUCUGACGGUACCUUAUGAAUAAGCACCGGCUAACUCCGUGCCAGCAGCCGCAGUAAGAC